GUGAUCCAGUUCAGUGCAGGUGCCCUGGCAGGCCUGGGGACCAACGAUCAAAGCGCCUGAGCUGCCCCCAACUCCAGCGCCCAGGCCCGAGAUGGGUGCAUGCGAGCCUCGAGUCACACACACAGCGUGGAGAGGAGAUAUAAAACUAUAUUACCAGAAGAAGACUUCGGAUCUGACUCUGCUGAGAACCUCAGAAAGGACCAGGGGCUAACCAAGCACCAGUAGUCCCGUGUAGUGUCAUUGCCUCCUGGGAGCUGCAGGCUCUGCUUCUCACCGUGACCGAGUCUGCCGGGAAAAUGUCAGCCUCCAGAACAGGGUGGCCAUGGUGCAUGCAGGGCUGAGCCCAUGUCUCAUCAACCCAAACAGAGGAAGUGCUGUCCCAGCUGGGCCCAGACCAAAGGCCUGACCUGUGUUCCUCUCUCUCCCCUUGUCUCUCUUUGAUUUUUUUUAGUGUUUGUCUUUUUCUCUCUUUAAAAAUAUUUGGGACUUCCCAGUGUUUAACAUUCCACACUUCCAAGGCAGGGAGUGUUGGUUUGAUUCCUGAUUGGGGAACCAAGAUCCCAUAUAGCUCAGAGUGCCACGAAAAAAAAAAAAGAAAGUUUGAGUGUACUGUUGUAAGCCCUGGGAUAUAGCAGGGAACAAGCCAUUUGGGGUCCCUGCUAAUACUUCUAAUACAGGAGACACACACAAACAAGUAAAUAAGACAACUGCAGACCUGGAGGACAUCUGCAAUUUAGUGAAAGCACUGAAACACGUCAUGUGAUGGAGAGGCCCUGAGUUAGCCUAGAAAAAGGGAGAAGUAGGGGUCAGGGAACAUGGAGAUUAACCCAUGGUGAAGGCCAAGGGAGAGCAGGGCAGGCUGGGUUGAAGGGGAGUGCUCAGAUGACGGCUCAGAUGUCAUAGUAACUUACACUGAAAGAACAACUAUGAUGGUUACAAACACAAGCUCCGGACCAGACCUGGGUCCAGUUUCUGAUUUCACCCCUUCCCAACUACAGAGCCCCAGGAAAGUUGCUUAACCUCUCUGAGUCUUUCUCCUUUCAUCGUAAGAUGAGAAUGAUAAUUGUACCUCCCUCACAAGGCUGUGUUAAAGAUUAAAGGAGAGCUUAGUAUGGAACCUUA